rnacentral:rRNA from 1 species
AACGCGAAGAACCUUACCCGGGCUUGAACUACGGAUGGUAAGUCCCUAGAAACAGGGGCUGACCCGCAAGGGAGUCCGCAGAGGUGCUGCAUGGCUGUCGUCAGCUCGUGUCGUGAGAUGUUGGGUUAAGUCCCGCAACGAGCGCAACCCUUAUCUUCAGUUGCUACCAUUUAGUUGAGCACUCUGACGAAACCGCCUCGGAUAACGGGGAGGAAGGUGGGGAUGACGUCAAGUCCUCAUGGCCUUUAUGUCCAGGGCUACACACGUGCUACAAUGGCCGGUACAAACCGCUGCAAACCCGCGAGGGGGAGCUAAUCGGAAAAAGCCGGCCUCAGUUCGGAUUGGAGUCUGCAACUCGACCCCAUGAAGCUGGAAUCGCUAGUAAUCGUGGAUCAGCAUGCCACGGUGAAUACGUUCCCGGGCCUUGUACACACCGCGCAUA